GACGAACGCUGGCGGCGUGCUUAACACAUGCAAGUCGAACGGAAAGGCCCUGCUUUUGUGGGGUGCUCGAGUGGCGAACGGGUGGGUAACACGUGAGUAACCUGCCCUUGACUUUGGGAUAACUUCAGGAAACUGGGGCUAAUACCGGAUAGGAGCUCCUGCUGCAUGGUGGGGGUUGGAAAGUUUCGGCGGUUGGGGAUGGACUCGCGGCUUAUCAGCUUGUUGGUGGGGUAGUGGCUUACCAAGGCUUUGACGGGUAGCCGGCCUGAGAGGGUGACCGGCCACAUUGGGACUGAGAUACGGCCCAGACUCCUACGGGAGGCAGCAGUGGGGAAUAUUGCACAAUGGGCGGAAGCCUGAUGCAGCAACGCCGCGUGCGGGAUGACGGCCUUCGGGUUGUAAACCGCUUUCGCCUGUGACGAAGCGUAAGUGACGGUAAUGGGUAAAGAAGCACCGGCUAACUACGUG
rnacentral:rRNA from 1 species